rnacentral:rRNA from 1 species
UACGGAGGGUGCGAGCGUUAAUCGGAAUAACUGGGCGUAAAGGGCACGCAGGCGGGCUGUUAAAUGAGUCGUGAAAUCCCCGGGCUUAACCUGGGAAUAGCAUUUCAGACUGGGAGUCUAGAGUACUUUAGGGAGGGGUAGAAUUCCACGUGUAGCGGUGAAAUGCGUAGAGAUCUGGAGGAAUACCGAAGGCGAAGGCAGCCCCUUGGGAAUGUACUGACGCUCAUGUGCGAAAGCGUGGGGAGCAAACAGG